rnacentral:rRNA from 1 species
GAUGAACGCUGGCGGCGUGCCUAAUACAUGCAAGUCGAGCGAACAGAUGAGGAGCUUGCUCCUCUGACGUUAGCGGCGGACGGGUGAGUAACACGUGGAUAACCUACCUAUAAGACUGGGAUAACUUCGGGAAACCGGAGCUAAUACCGGAUAAUAUAUUGAACCGCAUGGUUCAAUAGUGAAGGACGGUUUUGCUGUCACUUAUAGAUGGAUCCGCGCCGCAUUAGCUAGUUGGUAAGGUAACGGCUUACCAAGGCAACGAUGCGUAGCCGACCUGAGAGGGUGAUCGGCCGCACUGGAACUGAGACACGGUCCAGACUCCUACGGGACGGAGCAGUAGGGAAUCUUCCGCAAUGGGCGAAAGCCUGACGGAGCAACGCCGCGCGAGUGAUGAAGGUCUUCGGAUCGUAAAACUCUGUUAUUAGGGAAGAACAAAUGUGUAAGUAACUAUGCACGUCUUGACGGUACCUAAUCAGAAAGCCACGGCUAACUACGUG